CACCCACACAGCCGGUGAGCACACGGGGCUGGAAGGGGAGACCGCGGUGAGCGCACACACGGAAGGUCAAUCCGCUCGCUCCCUGUGAACCCACAGUGCUAUGGCUGCAGAGCUCCGUGUCCCACCGCAACACCCUGCGGUACCACCGGGGCUGGAGCCCCGCAGCGCACCGGGCCCUGCCAACCACGGGCACUGCGACAGCCUUACCGUGCUGCUUAUUGUACCAAAGCCCCUGACAAGCAGAAAAAUGCUAUUUAUCCCCAUUGUAAAGAUGUGGAACCAAGGCACACAGCAAGAUUAAGUGACUUGCCAAGUCAUGACGGAUGCUCCCAGCUAGACAAGAGGGCUCUCUUGAUGCUACCUACCCUCCUUGCCACAGCAUGAUGCUUUUCUCACCUGUGCUGCACAGCUGCAUCAGGAUUUCAUGUAAGUCAUACAUGGGGGUGCACACAUUUUAAAGGGAAAGGUUUUAAUGCUGUACCUUUUUUCCUCCUUUCAAUAUGAUGGGGCAAUAACAAACUAUUUCCCCCCCUUUUUUCAUGGUGCAUGCAGCUUUUCAUAAUGCUAGAGGUAUGAACUCCCAUCAGUUUGUGUAGCACAUCUUUGCUGCAGCUCUGAAUGCAAUCAGAUUGCAAACUCCCUGCUCUAAUCAGUGAAUUCAGGUGCCUCCUAAACACAGCAGUAAAAGGCUCUCUCUGCAGCAGCAAGAAUAACUAGCACUUUUUUGGAGAGAAGAAAAAGGAAGAACAAGUGCCCAUCACAGAACAUUCAUCUUCCCUUCCAGCCUGCUGCCUUGGGCAGUCCUCAGAACUGGGGAUGAGGAGAUGGACACACCACUUUGGAACCAGUAGCCUUCAGAAGAGAGAAGUCACCUGGUUUUCACCUGGUCAGUUUGGAGGUGCAAUGAAAUGGGAGAAACAGAAAAGAGGGAGUGUGAGUGCAGCCAACUGAUGGUUUGCAGUGAGUGUUGGAAGCACACGUGCAGCGGGGCUGGUCACAUCACUCAUACAGCUCUCUAACUGCUGGGAUUACCUCUGGUGAAGUGCAGCUCCUCAGCCCAAGACUGCAGUUACAAGUCAGACGUAUGAUUGAAGGAGGAUGCAUGGUGCUAUAAACUGUAUUUUGCC
rnacentral:lncRNA from 14 species